GCCGGGCGUGGUGACUCACGCCUGUAAUCCCAGCACUUUGGGAGGCCGAGGUGGGCAGAUCACCUGAGGUCAGGAGUUCCAGGCUAGCCUGACCAACAUGGUGAAACCCCAUCUCUA
ensembl:misc_RNA Metazoa_SRP Metazoan signal recognition particle RNA